rnacentral:tRNA from 1 species
AUUUUUCUAGUAUAAUUAGUACUACUGAUUUCCAAUCAUUAAGUUCCAGUUUGACACUGGAGAAAAAUA